GUAAUUCCUGCUGGGCCUUCAGCGCCACGGGGGCUCUGGAAAACCUGCAUUUCAAGACAACCGGCCAACGGGUCUCCUUCAGCGAGCAGAACCUCCUGGAUUGCUCCCGGGAUCAGGUCAACCGUGGGUGUCAAGGUGGACACCCCGCACAGGCUUUCGAAUACGUCCGCCAGAACGGGGGCCUCAGUUCGGAGCAGGACUACCCCUACAGAGGAAAGGUCGGAAGGUGCCGCAGGAAUGUCAGGAAGAUCCGGAUCAAAAUUUCAGGAUUUGGAAGGGUGCAAAGUGGGAACGAGAAGGAACUGGCAUAUGCAGUGGCAAAGUUUGGCCCUGUUUCUGUAGGAAUCAACUUUAAUAAAAGAAAGUUCCGAUAUUAUAAAUCAGGAAUCUUUUCA